AUUGUAUUAUAUAUGUAUUUUAGAUAAUAUUAGAUUAUUGGAUUGAAGUUUUUUUUUAAAAUUUUUUGAAUCAAUUAAAUACAAAUUCAUAUCCUAACUAUGCUUUAGGCUAAGAAUGAUUUAAUCAAGUUUUAGUUCAAGUUUUAAUUAAGCUUGAUUUUAUUUCCAGCUAAUUUCAUUUGAUAUAGGAUUACCAACCUUUAUAUGUGGCCUAUAGUUAAGGAUCACCCAUUGCACAAAUCUCAAAAUACUCCAAACACCUUCAUUCAUCCAUCUGCACAAAUCUCAAAGAACUUUUAUGAUAUAACCCAUAGUUAAGGAUCAGCCGCCCCAU
rnacentral:lncRNA from 1 species